AUGCAAGUCGAACGAUGAAGCCAGCUUGCUGGUGGAUUAGUGGCGAACGGGUGAGUAACACGUGAGUAACCUGCCCUUGACUCUGGGAUAAGCCUGGGAAACUGGGUCUAAUACCGGAUACGACUCCUCAUCGCAUGGUGGGGGGUGGAAAGCCUUGUGCGGUUUUGGAUGGACUCGCGGCCUAUCAGCUUGUUGGUGGGGUAAUGGCCUACCAAGGCGACGACGGGUAGCCGGCCUGAGAGGGUGACCGGCCACACUGGGACUGAGACACGGCCCAGACUCCUACGGGAGGCAGCAGUGGGGAAUAUUGCACAAUGGGCGAAAGCCUGAUGCAGCGACGCCGCGUGAGGGAUGACGGCCUUCGGGUUGUAAACCUCUUUCAGUAGGGAAGAAGCCUUCGGGUGACGGUACCUGCAGAAGAAGCGCCGGCUAACUACGUGCCAGCAGCCGCGGUAAUACGUAGGGCGCAAGCGUUAUCCGGAAUUAUUGGGCGUAAAGAGCUCGUAGGCGGUUUGUCGCGUCUGCUGUGAAAGACCGGGGCUCAACCCCGGUUCUGCAGUGGGUACGGGCAGACUAGAGUGAUGUAGGGGAGACUGGAAUUCCUGGUGUAGCGGUGAAAUGCGCAGAUAUCAGGAGGAACACCGAUGGCGAAGGCAGGUCUCUGGGCAUUAACUGACGCUGAGGAGCGAAAGCAUGGGGAGCGAACAGGAUUAGAUACCCUGGUAGUCCAUGCCGUAAACGUUGGGCACUAGGUGUGGGGGACAUUCCACGUUUUCCGCGCCGUAGCUAACGCAUUAAGUGCCCCGCCUGG
rnacentral:rRNA from 1 species